rnacentral:lncRNA from 1 species
AUGGUGAUGUAGGAAGCUGGACCUGGUGGUCUCACAGGAGGCGGAAUAUGGGGGGCGGCCACCGAUGAAAAGAAGGUCUACACCAACAUAGCCAACUCCGACGGUAAAAACUUCACUUUAAAACCAUCAACAAGGAACACGACUGGCGGUGGAUGGGUGGCAAUGGAUGCUACUAAUGGUCAAGUUCUUUGGUCAACAGCCGACCCUACUAAUUGUACUGUAAGUGGACCGGUGACCGUAGCAAAUGGAGUGGUAUUUGGUGGUUCGACAGACAAAGAUGGACCAGUGUAUGCGAUGGAUGGUAAGAGUGGGGAAAUUUUAUGGUCAUAUAACACAGGGGCCACUGUUUUUGGUGGUAUGUCAGUUAGCGAUGGGUGUAUUUACGUAGGGCAUGGAUAUAGGGUUAGUUUUGGUUUCUUUAAUCCGAGCAUCACUGCUGGGAACUCACUCUUCGCUUUUUGCAUAUCUUGAUCACCACCCAAAUAUCAAAUUAAUUAUCUGUAAUAAAUACAUGCUGCUAUUUUUAGUUUGUAACUUGAAUAGCAGAGUCUGUGGCAAUGCUGAAGGAAGUGAGCCAACAAAUAUAAUUAAAUUUCAGUUUUAAUUUUUAUUUUAAGCUUAAAUUUCUGUACUUUGAUAUAAUUUAGAUAUAUGUUUAUUAUUUUUCUUUUCUUUUCUUUUGACAUGAGAAAAUAAUGGUUACAUUUUAAUUUUAAUCCAUCUACUUUUUUAAAAUAAUAUAAGAUUAAUGGUUAAAUUUCAGUUUUGAUCCGAGAUUUAAUUUAUUGAUUAAUUAAAAUGUUGAGGUGAAUUUUUAAGAACUGUUAGCACCGUUAAAUUUUUUUAUUAAAUUCAAGUCAAUUAUAAUGUUAUUUUUGUUUCAUGGAUAUAAAGGAGGUAUAUUUUUUUUUUAAUUUCAAUAUGUCCCACCUGCAAAUCUAACAUAAAGAUUUUAACGGCAUUAACAAAUAAAUCUAAAUUUUAGAAUUCGAAAAAUAGAAGAAUUAAAUUCCUGAAAAUAAAAGUAUAAAGAUUAAAUUUUAAAUUUAUGAAGAGUACAUGACCUUUAAGCAUAUUAUAACCUUUAAAAUUAUAUUCUAUAAUUUAAUAAAAAAAUAAUCAAUCCAACACGAAACUUGGGAAGGUGCCGUACUAGUUUUAAAAAAAAUUUAAUGUAUCAACCAAACAACUUUCCUUGUUUUAUAUAAAAAAAUUAAAUUAUUAAUGUCAUCAUUUUCGUAUACUAAACAUUUUAAACAUUAGAUUAAAAAAUUCAAAUAUGAUUCAAGGAAGUAUAUUACAAUAUAGAAUUCAAAUAAAUAUUAUUGAUUUUUAAAUUAGAUCAGUAAUUGAAUUGGUCAAGUUAUUAGUUCGAAAAAUAAUAAUAAAAUAUUUAAUUUAAUCAAUUCAAAGUCACUUUCUGAACAGAUAUGAUUCAAACAAUAUUGAUAAAUAUGAUAAUUGGUCUAGAGGAGUAUAAUAAGUUAUUAUGAUUAAUGUUCAAAGUUUGUGAUUGUUCUUCUAAUAAUGUUGUUUUCAAUGUUCGGAUCCACGCUCUCCUUUUACGAGUAUAAAUGUGAUACUUUAAUUUUUUAAUACUUUUUAUCAUGGGGUUUUAUUAAAGUCUAAGCAUUGCUAAGCAUGGAGUAAGUAGGAUAAAGAGUUGACUUUAACAAAGCACGCAAAUUAAAGUUAUAAAUGACUAAGAUGACUUGUAAUUUAAAAAAGUGAAAAAGAAAUUAAUUCUUUGAUAAUUUAAUGUCGAAAAAAUAAUAUUAAAUUUAGCUCUUAAUGCAUACAUUUUUUUUUUGUUAAUUUGGUCUCUUUUUAUCUUUAGAUAAAGUUGGCCUUAAGUCAAACUGUUUUUUAAAUAAAAAUACUUACUGAAACAUUAAAUUUUUAAACAUGACAGCUCACAUGACAAUUUACAUUUACAUUUACUUUUUUUUUUGAAUUUUUAUAAACUUUUUAUAUAUUUUUUGAAUUUUUAAAAGUUUUAAUUUAUUUGUUGAUGACACAUAUAAGACAAAUAAUAUAAUGUCAACAUGAAGUACAUGUAGACUAUCACGUGAGAUGCCACAAUAACAUCAUUAAAAAAUUGAUGUUUUAAUUAGGAUUUUUGUUAGAAAAAAAGCCAUUUCAGUCUUUUUUUUAGGAGGUCUGGGGUUAAUUUUAACUCAAAAAAAAAAA